rnacentral:lncRNA from 1 species
AUGCUGUGAGUAUGGACUAUACAAAGAAAGAGAAGCAUAUCUCCUUAUGCUCCUGCAUUCAAAAACUUCUUCCCAUUGUAGGAGACAAGAAAUGAAGCAGAAGAAGGAGCACAGAUUUUGGGGUCAAACUGUCUUUUACUGAGGUAGAGUGGAGCAUUCAGAGAGAGUGCCUGAAGGAGCAGAGGGGACAGAAGAGUCUGUUGGCCUGGACUUUGAGAAGGCUUCCUGAAGCAGCAGGAAGAACUUGAGAAAGACCUUUAAGCAUGCUGGGAUUUGUAUUCGUGGAUGAAAGUAUGAGGGCAUCCUAGGUAGAAGAUACAGCAUGAGCAAAGGACCAGGAGCAGACAUGAAUGAGGUGUGAUGAGAACUUAAAUCGGAGAGUUUGGGUCAUGGAGAAGCAAAUGAGACCAGAAAGCCACUGGGGUUUCUUAAACAGGGGCUUGUCGUUCUGAAAAUGGGGUUAAGUACAGAAGAGACUAAACAUUUAUUGAGCUACAAUUAUCUCUAAUACUUACUACUACUCUGAAACUAUUAUCUCCAAUUUAUAUAUAAAAAUACUGAGGCUUAUAGAGAUAAAACAAAUUGUCAGAGUUCAUAUAACCAGUAAGUGGGAGAGCCAAGAAUGUAGCAGGAGUGUUAAGACAGAAGAAGUUUUGAGAAGAGAGGGUAAAAUUUAGGUGGGAAAAGAUAGAGCAAAUUAUAAUUUGUGAAAUUCUGUGCAGAGCCUUAAGGGCUGAGAGUACGAACUUGAGUGAAAGUUCAAGGAUGCAUUCCCUCCCUUUGAGAAGGAUUUUGAGGUGGUGGGUUCUAGAUGCUGUUCUCAGCGCUAUCCAAUGACCCAAGGGCCCAAUAAUAUUGUCUUAAUUUCCUGUGCUGGGGAAAGCUCUUUCCAGCACCAUCUGGUGGCAUCUACCUGAAUUGCUGGUGUAGAACCAAGGAGGAGAUGCGUACCCUCUGGUGCAAAGCUUCCCUAAGUGUGGCAAAGAAAUAAUGUCUUGUUUCUGCCUUUUCUAUCACUUCUAAGGAUAUCUAUCUAUCUAGUGCCUAGCAAAGUAGAUAUCUGAUACCCAUUAGGUUCCUUCUUACCACUAUAAUGUCUGGGUGUUGGUUCUCAAACUUUAUUGUGUGCCAAAAUCCCAUGUGGAGUUUGUUAAUGGUAUCCUCCCACCCCUAGGCUCUAAUUUAGUAGAUCUGGGGUGCAUCUAUGAAAGCCAGAUUUUAAUAAGCCCCAGGGGGUUUCAGUGCAAUUGGCCCCUGGAGCUCACUUAGGGAAGCUUGACUCCAGAAAGUAUGCAUCUCUUCAUGGGCUAUAAGCCAGCGAUUCAGAUAGAUGCCAAUAGAGGCUGCUUGGCAAAGCCUUACUAGGUACUUUAUUCCUUGUCUCUUGGCCCAUUUUUAGAAGAAGGGAGUCUUCACUCUGGGAAUGGGAGGAUCUUCAAUGAGCAGGGACUAAUUUUUCCAGCUGACUCUGAAUAAAGAUCUACAAAAGCUGUCAGCCAGACCCACUCCAUCACUAAAAUAAAGCAACUAUGUGUCUGAAUAAGCCCUGGCCUGGCAAUAUUGGACCUUUCCUUGCUGCUAAUUCAUUCAAUGAUAUUGGGCAGGACUGUCUUGAUUGCUCCGUUCAGUUCCUAUGUCUGAAAACUGAAGGGAUCAAAGUAAAUGAACCUAAGGUGCCCGGGUUCUCUGACACAUUUGUUAACCCUCAUAAUCUCCUUCUGCCUCCCAUGAGGCAAGACUCUCCCUUCACCUAGCCUACUUUAGAGGGGCUGCCCAUCCUUCCCUCUGCAGGUACCUCUCAGGCUAAUGUUCUUUUGUGAGCCCAACAUGGGGCCUCACAUUCACAGAGCAGAUUAAAGAGAUUUGGUUUAAGGUCAUCCAGUUGGAAAGUGAGAGAAGCUGACCAUUUGUGGAGUCUGGAUCCAGCUCACCAGCUCUAAGUUUGUUCCCCUUUCUCAUUCACUGUGGAUGGUGGUAAGGAUGUUUUUGAGUGUUUUGAAUUUAGUGCCAGGGAAGCUGGGCUGAGUUCAUGUAUAGCUGAGAGAUCAUGGGGAAAUGGCCACCACAUUGCACAAAUCCAGGGGCACAAUUGACAUUGCAACCUAUAUGAAGGUGCUCCCUGGAGUUGUGUUAUGAGGAAUCUGAGUGGUUUUAUGUGAUGUCCCUGGCAGUGCAUCAUAGUUUUGGUGGUAUUUUCUUUUCCUUUCAAGAGGCUAUUAAUGGUCCCUUUUAGAAACUAUCUUUGCAUAUUACAGAAAGCUAGGUGGAUAGCUCUUGAAUAUAGCAAUCCAUGGUAGACACAGACAGUAUUCAUAGAGUCCACUUUAGCUAAGUGUAGAAGCCAUCAGCUCAGGAGUUCAUGAUACUGCAUUUAAGUGGGGAUCAUCUUCCCUAUCUUACCCUACAUGCAAGAAGUUGGAGAUUUCCAUAGAAAUUCCGGUAAAGUGGAAGAUGCUUUUUAGUGUUGCAUGGAGCUAGAAGGUCAAGGUCUUCCAGAAAAGUGCAGCCUCCUCUAUCCAUCUCCCAAAUCGUUGAUGCCCUUUCACCUACCCAGGACUUGCUGUGACCUGACAAGCAAAACAGCAAGGGUGAAAAUCCCCUUAUGACAAUUCAUGCCAGCCUGUCUUGCACAAAUUUGAGAGCAUUUCCUUAAAUUCUGCACCCUGGGUGGCUCACUCACCUCAUUCUAGUGCCAACCCUAUGACAUUUAAAUCACCUAUUUGGGUGUCAGUCCUGUGUUAGGUAUUAGGGUACAGAAAUCAAGAAAAUAUGGCCCUGCCUACAAGGACUUGACAUACAGUUGGAGAGGCCAUCAGGAAAUCCAGUGAUUCUGACUUGCCUUGAGAUUCACUAGGUGGGAACACAGAAGUUCCAAUGGAGCAACAAGUGAGGUACCUGGUCUACCUGGGAGGUUGAGAAGCCUUCCCUGAAAGGAUAUAGUCCUAGAGCAGAGACUUAAAAGGUGAGGAGGAGUCUGAAGGGGAGGGAGUGAGAACAGCAUGGACAAAGUCCCCAAGGCAAGAGAGAGAUGAGUUUGGAAAACCACACAUUGAUUAGUAUGACUGAGAUGAAAAUUGCAUGGGCUUCAUACUGGGGGGAGGGAGUGGGCAGUGGCCAGAGAGGCAAAGCGUGAUGGAGCCUGCAUUCCAUGCAAAAUUAUAAGAAUUUCUAUCCUGAAAACUGUGGGGAGCUGCUGAAGAAUUUUGAGCAGGAAAAUAACAUGAUCAGAAUUGCAUUUUAGAAGUAUCACUCUGGUGGAAAUGUGGAGAUUCAACUGAACAGAGGUGAGAACAGAGACAGAAUGAGCAGUUAGACCAUGAUUGCAAGAGUCCAGGUGAGGGGCACCAAGAUGGAAAGGAUCCAAUCCACUGUCAUAACUCCCUUGCGUCACUACUAGGAAGGAAAAUUGCCUCCAGCCUUCUCCAGCUCUGGCAGGGAAGUUUCAGUUAUCUGGGUGAGGAUAAGCUUCUCCAGGAGUCCAAGGUGGAGUAGGAGCAAGGAAGCAGUGGCAUUAUGGGGCAUCUGUGAAGUGCCAGUGAAGGCUGCAUCGUGGCUGUGUUCCAUGGUAACCGUUUCCAGGAAGAGCAGCACCGGAGGAGUGCAGGUUCUGAAGACUUUCAAUCAGCCCCAAAGCUUAGCCAGACAAAACGUCGUGUUGCUGGCUUCACAGCCUCCGCGGACACCAAAGGGAGAGGGUAUGACGUGGGCAAACAUUCUCCUAGGUUAUUGCAGGAACUGUGAUCACAAGGACCAUGAGCGCAGCUGCCUCCCGGGGCUCGAUCACAGGAGAGGAGCCCAGGGCCAGAGGUCCCUGAACUGCAGACCAGAGCAUGUGGCUGCAGGAGAGGAAUGAGGCAGAGAAAGCACAGCUACACACAGUGGAUUCCUGGCCUCUUUCCCAUCUCCCUGAGAAAGACUCAUCACGUCUCCACUGUGGCUCUGUGGGUAAUACCGGUAGAGAGGAAAGAGGAGGCUCUGGAGCCAGAUGGCCUGGAUCCGAAUCCCAGGCUGCUGCAACAGCUGGGCUCAGCAUUGAAAUGGGGACCAUCUGGGAGCCACACGACGGAGACUGAGUUGGCACCUUGAGAGGGAGGCAGAGCUGCGAUGCACAGAGCGGUGCUGAGGCAGACUCACAGCUAUGCAGCAAUCGCGUCCCCAGCCCAGCACCAGCACUACUGACUGGGAAAGGACUUCUCGCCCCGAUGCCUGCCCUGCUGCAAAAACCCCCUAGCUUCCUUUCAGCACAAAG